GCUCACUCUCAAAGUCUAGUGGGUAGACCUGGAAGCUUGCUGAGGAAAUACAAUUUUAAUCACAAGAAAACACGACAGUCUGGACUGGUUAUGAAAAUGUUAACACUACCUUGGAUUUAGAGUACUCUUCCUUUGAAGUCCUCCAGUCUCCUGGAUCACACAUAAAGUUCCUUAGAUCUUUCCAAGCUUUAUGGCACUGAAUCCCUAAUUAGUAUUCCACCCAAGAGCUCUUAAAGAACUGUAAAGGAUGUGCUGCAUACCACCCCCGCCGAUGCUUAGGUUUACAUAGAGGUUUGAAAUAUGGGAAAAGAAGGCUAAAAUGUUGAUGGAGCCCUACUGUGAAGCCACCUUCAGAGACCUAACAGUUUUUAAGUUGGAAGUAUCAACUGGUGUAUCAAAGGAAGGAGACAAUAAAACAGGAAAAUCAAUUAGGCUACUGCAAUGAUAGAUGAGAAUUGAUAAGGGUCUGAAUUAGAGUGGCGGUAAAAAGGAGAGUUAGAGACUGAAACCCAGGAUUUGGCAACUGAAAGAAAGCAAAUGGCUGAGUGUGGUGGCUCAUGCCUGUAAUCAGCUGAGAUGGGCUUCUUCAGUCCUGGAGUUCGAAACCAGCCUGGGCAACAAAGCACGACCCCUUUAAAAUAUUUGAGACCUUGUCUCUACCAAAAAUUUAAAAAGCCAGAUGCAGUGGCAGGUGCCUG